AUGGGAACGCGAAGAACCUUACCUACUCUUGACAUCCAGAGAACUUAGCAGAGAUGCUUUGGUGCCUUCGGGAACUCUGAGACAGGUGCUGCAUGGCUGUCGUCAGCUCGUGUUGUGAAAUGUUGGGUUAAGCCCCGCAACGAGCGCAACCCUUAUCCUUUGUUGCCAGCGGUUAGGCCGGGAACUCAAAGGAGACUGCCAGUGAUAAACUGGAGGAAGGUGGGGAUGACGUCAAGUCAUCAUGGCCCUUACGAGUAGGGCUACACACGUGCUACAAUGGCGCAUACAAAGAGAAGCGACCUCGCGAGAGCAAGCGGACCUCAUAAAGUGCGUCGUAGUCCGGAUUGGAGUCUGCAACUCGACUCCAUGAAGUCGGAAUCGCUAGUAAUCGUAGAUCAGAAUGCUACGGUGAAUACGUUCCCGGGUCUUGUACACACCG
rnacentral:rRNA from 1 species